rnacentral:rRNA from 1 species
GACGAACGCUGGCGGCGUGCUUAACACAUGCAAGUCGAACGGAAAGGCCCUGCUUUUGUGGGGUGCUCGAGUGGCGCACGGGUGAGUAACACGUGAGUAACCUGCCCUUGACUUUGGGAUAACUUCAGGAAACUGGGGCUAAUACCGGAUAGGAGCUCCUGCUGCAUGGUGGGGGUUGGAAAGUUUCGGCGGUUGUGGAUGGACUCGCGGCUUAUCAGCUUGUUGGUGGGGUAGUGGCUUACGAAGGCUAUGAAGGGUAGCCCGCCUUGGAGGGGGACCGGCGACAUGGGUACUAAGAGACGGCCCAGACGGCUACGGUAGGCAGCAGGGGAGAGUAUUACGGAGCGGGCGGAAGUCAGAGAUGACGGCGCCGCGAGCGUGAUGACGGCCUUCUGGGUAUGAACCACUUUCUCCGUUGACGAGGCGGGAGUGACGGUAAUUGGUAAAAAAGCACCGGCUAACUACGUG